UACGUAGGGUGCAAGCGUUGUCCGGAAUUAUUGGGCGUAAAGAGCUCGUAGGCGGUUUGUUGCGUUGGCUGUGUAAUCCCGAGGCUCAACCUCGGGUCUGCAGUCGAUACGAGCAAACUAGAGUGUUGCAGGGGAGACUGGAAUUCCUGGUGUAGCGGUGAAAUGCGCAGAUAUCAGGAGGAACACCGGUGGCGAAGGCGGGUCUCUGGGCAACAACUGACGCUGAGGAGCGAAAGCGUGGGGAGCGAACAGG
rnacentral:rRNA from 1 species